rnacentral:tRNA from 1 species
GGACUGGUAGCUCAGUGGUAGAGCGAGAGAUUGCAGCCUUCGUGGGUGACUCUCGCGGUAGUAGUAAUUAUCUCUAGGUCGCGAUUUCGAUUAUCGCCCGGUCCU